UACGGGGGGAGCAAGCGUUGUUCGGAUUUACUGGGCGUAAAGGGCGCGUAGGCGGCCACCGCAAGUCGACUGUGAAAUCUCCGGGCUUAACUCGGAAAGGUCAGCCGAUACUGCGGGGCUAGAGUGCAGAAGGGGCAACUGGAAUUCUCGGUGCAGCGGUGAAAUGCGUAGAUAUCGAGAGGAACACCUGCGGCGAAGGCGGGUUGCUGGGCUGACACUGACGCUGAAGCGCGAAAGCUAGGGGAGCGAACGGG
rnacentral:rRNA from 1 species